ensembl:lncRNA
AUGAAUAGAAAGACUGAGCCUGUCUCCUUAUCAACCUUAAGGCGAAGGACGCGUGUAGACGUUCAAAAAAGACUUCAUCAAAUUAGGACAGACAUGACUGACAUGACUGAUAUGGACAUGACAGGAAUAGGAGCAGAAGACAGAGUUCUUUCUGAGAACACUGCCCCACCCUCUUCAGCUGCACAUGCAAUGCCAGAGGUGCAAGUUUUUACUGAAGAGGACAUGGAAUUGGAGGUAGAUUUUGAUGAUGUGAAUUGUGAUGGGGGUGGGACAUCAGGUUCGGAUUCUGAAAAUGAUGAUGACCUAACAUCACUUUCCGAUAACAUUGCCAACUGGGCAGUGAGUUUUGGGAUUUCCCUCGUUGCCCUGACUGCACUGUUGACUAUACUCCAUAUAACCCAUCCCAAUCUGCCAAAGGAUGGUAGGACCCUUCUCAAGACAAAAACUCAUUAUGCUAUUCAGGAGAAGGCUGGGGGGAACUACCAUCACUUUGGCAUCCUUUCCUCCUUGAAGGCCACUAUAAGCAAAUAUGCCAAAACACUGGCAGAGGGCAUGACAUUGGGGCUGCAGAUUAAUAUAGAUGGUCUACCUUUAUUUAAAAGUUCCUCUGUACAGCUGUGGCCCAUCCUUGGCUUACUGGUUACCAUCCCCAUGAAGGAACCUGUUGUCAUUGGGGCCUACUGUGGACCGAAAAAACCUAGUUCGGCCACAGAGUUCCUAUCUGAUUUUGUCAAUGAACUACAGGAGCUAGAGGCUGGGUUUUGCUUUGGGGAUAAGAACCUUAAAAUUAAGCUUCACACAGUAAUCUGUGAUGCCCCUGCACGGGCCUUUGUGAAAAAGACAAAGGCCCAUAAUGCUUAUCAUGGGUGUGAUAAGUGCCUACACCCAGGGCACUACCAGAACCGGCGUAUGACGUUCCCUGGAUCAGAACACCCCCAGAGAACUGACAUCUCAUUUAACCUGAUGGUUGAUGAACUACACCACCACGAGGGGCCACAUCCAUUUAAAAAUGUGAAGGUUGGCAUGGUAUCGCAGUUUCCCUUGGAUUAUAUGCAUCUAGUGUGUUUGGGCAUCGUAAGGAAACUGCUCCAGACCUGGCUCCGGGGUCCGUUAACAGUAAGACUGCCGGCAUUAAUAGUAGACAGGAUGUCAGGCAAACUCCAGUCAAUGAGGCCCUACGUGCCAGUUGAGUUUGCCAGGAGACCACGGUCGCUUAGGGAGUUGGACCGUUGGAAGGCGACUGAAUUCCGUCAGUUCUUACUGUACACUGGCCCAGUGGUGCUGGCAGGAUUCCUGGACCGGAACAUGUACCACAAUUUCAUGCUCCUGUCAACUGCUAUAUCUAUUUUGGUAAGCCCUGAACAUCUCAACCUUGCUGAUUAUGCUGGACAAAUGCUAAAAUCUUUUGUAAACCAUUUUGGUGAGCUGUAUGGGACAGACCAGAUUGUGUACAAUGUCCACUGUCUGGUUCACCUGGCAGACGAGGUGAAGAGGCAUGGCUGUCUGGACUCUUUUUCAGCAUUCCCAUAUGAGAACCACCUCGGGAAAAUAAAAAAACUCAUUAGAAAACCAGAGUUCCCUUUAGCUCAACUCAUUCGGCGCCUUUCGGAGGUUACAGCUACCAAAUUGGAUGCUGAUGCAGACAUUACACUGAAAAGGGAGCAUUUUGUGGGCCCAAUUGUUGUUGGCAUGGGAGUUAAUGCGCAAUAUGGGGAAAUGCGAGGUGAAAGGUGGACCAUCAAAUUAACAACAGGGGACAACAUGUUUCUGGUUGGGGAUAAAGUCUGCCUUAUCAAAAACAUUAUCCAAAAUGAUAAUGGUGUGUACGCUAUCUACACUGAAUUUUCCCGGCAGUCUCCAUUCUAUACCUACCCCUUCAACUCUGACAGAAUGAACAUAUUUGUUGUAAAUUAUGCAUCUGACGAGAUGAAGUCAGUUGAGGUGUCAGCGCUGCGACAGAAAUGUGUAGCCUUGCCAUACAGGGAUGGUUUCGUGGCCAUACCCCUCCUCCACUAA